rnacentral:lncRNA from 1 species
UGACACUUUUGAACAAAUACAUGAAAAAUGACUGUGAACAUGAAGAAUGCAGUAUGUAGGAACACAAUUUUUAAUGUUAAAUAUAUAGGAGUUAACUUGACGGUUUCUUGACAUUUUUGUUGAGGAAGACAAAGACAAUGAAAAAUAUAAUAUGCGUGUUAUUGUAAAGUAUGUGGAUUUAAUGUCUUAAAAUAAAAAUGCCUUAAAAUCUUUCAAUUUGCAGCAAAUAAGAUCGUUUGUUUAUUGCCUUGAGAGAGUAUCCUAAGACGUUGAUUUUAAUAAACUUUAAACUUUUAUAAACUGGCAUCCCUUUUAUAUGUACAAUUAUGUAUAUCUAGUAAUAAAUAAACGUAAAUGUUGUUGUGUAAGGAACUAUAGACUGACAGCAACCGAUUCUGAAAAGAAAAAAAAAAACACCCAAUCGUUGCUCCUCUAUGAUAAGCGAUGCUUAUGUUAAGUAUCGCGAUACUUGAGGAGUCGCCAUUUUAGUUCCUCUCAGUGUCGUCGUAAGCGCAUGGCUUGACUACAACGUCUGAGCUUAAAUAUAUUUUCUUUUCUGUCCUGUUCAUUUAGUUUUCUUCAUCCAAUCGACGUCAGAAGACAUCAGCAUUCGAUUUAAGGUGGUGUUUGCUAAGUACGGAAGAAUGUGGAUCGAUUUCUCCCCAUUUUUUCGUCAAUUUACAUCCUCACUUCUAAUCGAACAUUUCUCAGUGUUUCCACAAUAUACAGAAACACAGCCAUGAUCACCAGAAAAAGAGGAAGAAGCAGCCUAAACGCUGACAUCACAUGUACAAGUACCUCCCACGAGAUUGAUGGUGUUUCGAAAAUCAGUAAUACAAGUGAAACGGACAUGCAAACUUCCCCAGAAAGUGACACCAAUGAUUGGGGCCUGGAUGAUCUGCUUGGCUCCGGGUUCAACUGGGAGCUGGACAAUGAAGUGCUUGAUGCUUUCGUCAACUUUGAAUCACAGACAGCGACCAGCGAUGAGACAGACCAAAGCGCAGUACUUGACGUUGCCCCAUCCCGCAGUAGAGGUGCAGUCCAGAGGUCAAAACUUCAAGACUGCUCCAGUCGGAUCAUCAACAAGAAUGCCAUUGCUGCGAGGAUGAACCGUUUAAAGAAGAAAGAAUACGUCAGUGGCCUGGAACAGAGAGUUGGUUCUUUGACAACAGAAAAUCGUGUUCUCAAGCAGGAAAACGGCAAUCUCAACAAGAGAGUGGAAGAGUUGGAGAAUGAAACUAGGAAUCCAACGAGAACGACCACGAUUAUGCCAUGCCGAGGAAGAGGGUGA